AGUAUUGUUGGGCCUAAAAACCCCUUCCAAUUUGAGGUAGGGAUUAUUUUGGUAAUUUCACCUUUCACCAUGUAAAAAGAAGGAACUUGACACUGCUAGAAACAGAGCUAAACAAAGAAGAAGAAGAAGAAAAUGAUUCACCGAACAUGGAGUCUCCUUACCGGUCCUGCCACCCUCUUUGGCGGUAUAGUCGCCACCGUCGCCGUCGCCAACUUCAUCCUUGUCAAAAAUGAUCCAUUCAUCAAACCAGAUCAGAAGAAGUAUGAAAAUCAAUCUGCAUCCAAGUAGGAGAAAAAGAUGCCACAGAAAUUUCCAUUAAUGGAUGUGAACUGAAGUUUGUUUCUUGAGCUUUGUAUGCUGUUUCAAAACAUUAUGGUGCUCCCUUUAGUUAAUAAAUACUGAGAUUUUGAGUGAAGUGUUGACCAUAUCUAGAUCAAAAUCACAAGUUCUAGAAAAUUGGUUCAUAUUUCAAAGAUUUUUUCUUUCAUCCAUGUAUAUUGUCAAAGUGUCAUUCUGCAUUGUGGUGGUUAAUCCAUUAAUCAACCGUGCUCUUUUUAUUUA